UGACCUUAUCUUUGACCAAAACUAUUGUCUAUUUAGGAACUCAUACAGACUACCACUUGUAUGGUAUUACUGUCAGAUAAAAACUAUAUCAAUCCUCCAAAUAGUAAACUAUAUACUAUAAUGCCCCUUUUAUCUAGUUCCCAAUUUGAAAUCAACUAUAAUAAAGAUUCAUAUUAGUAGCAUCAAUGACAGCUUCCUCCCCACUCCCAUAUCUUGAUCAGCUCUUUCUGCAACUCCAAUACAUGCAAGUAUAGUUUGAACUGGGAAGUAAGAACUUAACUAUAGGAAAAGAUAAUCUUUACUACUAUAUACUUCAAAUUGAUCUGCAAUCUGCCAAAAUGACCCCACUCUCCCCCAAACUUGCCCUGGCUAGAAAAUUGGCACAAGUCUGAGAGUCGGCGUCAAUUGAAAAUUAAUAUUGUAUCAAUGAAAUCAGUUAUCCACAUAUAUCUUGAAAUAAUUUGCAUAUUCUCACAACAUUUUGAGCUAAAUAGCUUUUAAUUCAAUAAUGGAUUUUUUCUUCGCUUUCCAUCUCUGCAAUAUGAGGCUCCACUCCAGCUUCAGAACCCUUCACAUGCAAGAGUCCCACUUUAGAAUCUUGCAUGUGCUAGAGCUCCCACAGUGAGCUAUGUAUUUCAUUAAAAAGGAAGAAUUUGAUUCAAUUCUAUCCUGUUGUAGCUUCUUUUCAGUCUUUAUUUAUCCAUAAUCAUGGACAAUAUAUUGUGAGCCAAUUUUUCUUGUAAAUCCAAAACUUUCUGCCUUGGUACUCC
rnacentral:lncRNA from 1 species